CUCGCAGAAUAAGCACCGGCUACUUCUGUGCCAGCAGCCGCGGUAAUCCAGAGGGUGCAAGCGUUAUUCGGAUUUACUGGGCGUAAAGCGCGCGUAGGCGGCUAAUUAAGUCAAAUGGAAAUCCCCGAGCUUAACUUGGGAAUUGCAUUCGAUACUGGUUAGCUAGAGUGUGGGAGAGGAUGGUAGAAUUCCAGGUGUAGCGGUGAAAUGCGUAGAGAUCUGGAGGAAUACCGAUGGCGAAGGCAGCCAUCUGGCCUAACACUGACGCUGAGGUGCGAAAGCAUGGGGAGCAAACAGGAUUAGAUACCCUGGUAGUCCAUGCCGUAAACGAUGUCUACUAGCCGUUGGGGCCUUUGAGGCUUUAGUGGCGCAGCUAACGCGAUAAGUAGACCGCCUGGGGAGUACGGUCGCAAGACUAAAACUCAAAUGAAUUGACGGGGGCCCGCACAAGCGGUGGAGCAUGUGGUUUAAUUCGAUGCAACGCGAAGAACCUUACCUGGCCUUGACAUAGUAAGAACUUUCCAGAGAUGGAUUGGUGCCUUCGGGAACUUACAUACAGGUGCUGCAUGGCUGUCGUCAGCUCGUGUCGUGAGAUGUUGGGUUAAGUCCCGCAACGAGCGCAACCCUUUUCCUUAUUUGCCAGCGAGUAAUGUCGGGAACUUUAAGGAUACUGCCAGUGACAAACUGGAGGAAGGCGGGGACGACGUCAAGUCAUCAUGGCCCUUACGGCCAGGGCUACACACGUGCUACAAUGGUCGGUACAAAGGGUUGCUACCUAGCGAUAGGAUGCUAAUCUCAAAAAGCCGAUCGUAGUCCGGAUUGGAGUCUGCAACUCGACUCCAUGAAGUCGGAAUCGCUAGUAAUCGCGGAUCAGAAUGCCGCGGUGAAUACGUUCCCGGGCCUUGUACACACCGCCCGUCACACCAUGGGAGUUUGUUGCACCAGAAGUAGGUAGUCUAACCGCAAGGAGGACGCUUACCACGGUGUGGCCGAUGACUGGGGUGAAGUCGUAACAAGGUAGCCG
rnacentral:rRNA from 1 species